rnacentral:rRNA from 3 species
GGUUAAGCGACUAAGCGUACACGGUGGAUGCCCUGGCAGUCAGAGGCGAUGAAGGGCGUGCUAAUCUGCGAUAAGCGCCGGUAAGGUGAUAUGAACCGUUAUAACCGGCGAUACCCGAAUGGGGAAACCCAGUGUGAUUCGUCACACUAUCAUUAACUGAAUCCAUAGGUUAAUGAGGCGAACCGGGGGAACUGAAACAUCUAAGUACCCCGAGGAAAAGAAAUCAACCGAGAUUCCCCCAGUAGCGGCGAGCGAACGGGGAGGAGCCCAGAGCCUGAAUCAGCAUGUGUGUUAGUGGAAGCGUCUGGAAAGGCGCGCGAUACAGGGUGACAGCCCCGUACACAAAAGCGCAUGUGCUGUGAGCUCGAUGAGUAGGGCGGGACACGUGGUAUCCUGUCUGAAUAUGGGGGGACCAUCCUCCAAGGCUAAAUACUCCUGACUGACCGAUAGUGAACCAGUACCGUGAGGGAAAGGCGAAAAGAACCCCGGCGAGGGGAGUGAAAAAGAACCUGAAACCGUGUACGUACAAGCAGUGGGAGCACAGGUUUACCUGUGUGACUGCGUACCUUUUGUAUAAUGGGUCAGCGACUUAUAUUCUGUAGCAAGGUUAACCGAAUAGGGGAGCCGGAGGGAAACCGAGUCUUAAUUGGGCGUUAAGUUGCAGGGUAUAGACCCGAAACCCGGUGAUCUAGCCAUGGGCAGGUUGAAGGUUGGGUAACACUAACUGGAGGACCGAACCGACUAAUGUUGAAAAAUUAGCGGAUGACCUGUGGCUGGGGGUGAAAGGCCAAUCAAACCGGGAGAUAGCUGGUUCUCCCCGAAAGCUAUUUAGGUAGCGCCUCGUGAAUUCAUCUCCGGGGGUAGAGCACUGUUUCGGCUAGGGGGCCAUCCCGGCUUACCAACCCGAUGCAAACUGCGAAUACCGGAGAAUGUUAUCACGGGAGACACACGGCGGGUGCUAACGUCCGUCGUGAAGAGGGAAACAACCCAGACCGCCAGCUAAGGUCCCAAAGUCAUGGUUAAGUGGGAAACGAUGUGGGAAGGCCCAGACAGCCAGGAUGUUGGCUUAGAAGCAGCCAUCAUUUAAAGAAAGCGUAAUAGCUCACUGGUCGAGUCGGCCUGCGCGGAAGAUGUAACGGGGCUAAACCAUGCACCGAAGCUGCGGCAGCGACACUGUGUGUUGUUGGGUAGGGGAGCGUUCUGUAAGCCUGCGAAGGUGGCCUGUGAGGGUUGCUGGAGGUAUCAGAAGUGCGAAUGCUGACAUAAGUAACGAUAAAGCGGGUGAAAAGCCCGCUCGCCGGAAGACCAAGGGUUCCUGUCCAACGUUAAUCGGGGCAGGGUGAGUCGACCCCUAAGGCGAGGCCGAAAGGCGUAGUCGAUGGGAAACGGGUUAAUAUUCCCGUACUUGGUGUUACUGCGAAGGGGGGACGGAGAAGGCUAUGUUGGCCGGGCGACGGUUGUCCCGGUUUAAGCGUGUAGGUGUGUGUUCCAGGUAAAUCCGGUUCACUUUAACACUGAGGCGUGACGACGAGGCACUACGGUGCUGAAGCAACAAAUGCCCUGCUUCCAGGAAAAGCCUCUAAGCAUCAGGUAACAUCAAAUCGUACCCCAAACCGACACAGGUGGUCAGGUAGAGAAUACCAAGGCGCUUGAGAGAACUCGGGUGAAGGAACUAGGCAAAAUGGUGCCGUAACUUCGGGAGAAGGCACGCUGACACGUAGGUGAAGUGAUUUACUCAUGGAGCUGAAGUCAGUCGAAGAUACCAGCUGGCUGCAACUGUUUAUUAAAAACACAGCACUGUGCAAACACGAAAGUGGACGUAUACGGUGUGACGCCUGCCCGGUGCCGGAAGGUUAAUUGAUGGGGUCAGCGCAAGCGAAGCUCCUGAUCGAAGCCCCGGUAAACGGCGGCCGUAACUAUAACGGUCCUAAGGUAGCGAAAUUCCUUGUCGGGUAAGUUCCGACCUGCACGAAUGGCGUAAUGAUGGCCAGGCUGUCUCCACCCGAGACUCAGUGAAAUUGAACUCGCUGUGAAGAUGCAGUGUACCCGCGGCAAGACGGAAAGACCCCGUGAACCUUUACUAUAGCUUGACACUGAACAUUGAGCCUUGAUGUGUAGGAUAGGUGGGAGGCUUUGAAGUGUGGACGCCAGUCUGCAUGGAGCCGACCUUGAAAUACCACCCUUUAAUGUUUGAUGUUCUAACGUGGACCCGUUACCCGGGUUGCGGACAGUGUCUGGUGGGUAGUUUGACUGGGGCGGUCUCCUCCUAAAGAGUAACGGAGGAGCACGAAGGUUGGCUAAUCCUGGUCGGACAUCAGGAGGUUAGUGCAAUGGCAUAAGCCAGCUUGACUGCGAGCGUGACGGCGCGAGCAGGUGCGAAAGCAGGUCAUAGUGAUCCGGUGGUUCUGAAUGGAAGGGCCAUCGCUCAACGGAUAAAAGGUACUCCGGGGAUAACAGGCUGAUACCGCCCAAGAGUUCAUAUCGACGGCGGUGUUUGGCACCUCGAUGUCGGCUCAUCACAUCCUGGGGCUGAAGUAGGUCCCAAGGGUAUGGCUGUUCGCCAUUUAAAGUGGUACGCGAGCUGGGUUUAGAACGUCGUGAGACAGUUCGGUCCCUAUCUGCCGUGGGCGCUGGAGAACUGAGGGGGGCUGCUCCUAGUACGAGAGGACCGGAGUGGACGCAUCACUGGUGUUCGGGUUGUCAUGCCAAUGGCACUGCCCGGUAGCUAAAUGCGGAAGAGAUAAGUGCUGAAAGCAUCUAAGCACGAAACUUGCCCCGAGAUGAGUUCUCCCUGAGACUUAGAGUCUCCUGAAGGAACGUUGAAGACGACGACGUUGAUAGGCCGGGUGUGUAAGCGCAGCGAUGCGUUGAGCUAACCGGUACUAAUGAACCGUGAGGCUUAACCUU